rnacentral:rRNA from 1 species
AACGCUAGCUACAGGCUUCACACACGCAAGUUCGAGGGGCAGCAUGAACUUAGCUUGCUAAGUUUGAUGGCGACCGGCGCACGGGCGAGUAACACGUAUCCAACCUGCCGAUGACUCGGGGAUAGCCUUUCGAAAGAAAGAUUAAUACCCGAUGGCAUAGUUCUUCCGCAUGGUAGAACUAUUAAAGAAUUUCGGUCAUCGAUGGGGAUGCGUUCCAUUAGGUUGUUGGCGGGGUAACGGCCCACCAAGCCUUCGAUGGAUAGGGGUUCUGAGAGGAAGGUCCCCCACAUUGGAACUGAGACACGGUCCAAACUCCUACGGGAGGCAGCAGUGAGGAAUAUUGGUCAAUGGACGAGAGUCUGAACCAGCCAAGUAGCGUGAAGGAUGACUGCCCUAUGGGUUGUAAACUUCUUUUAUACGGGAAUAAAGUGAGGCACGUGUGCCUUUUUGUAUGUACCGUAUGAAUAAGGAUCGGCUAACUCCGUGCCAGCAGCCGCGGUAAUACGGAGGAUCCGAGCGUUAUCCGGAUUUAUUGGGUUUAAAGGGAGCGUAGGCGGACGCUUAAGUCAGUUGUGAAAGUUUGCGGCUCAACCGUAAAAUUGCAGUUGAUACUGGGUGUCUUGAGUACAGUAGAGGCAGGCGGAAUUCGUGGUGUAGCGGUGAAAUGCUUAGAUAUCACGAAGAACUCCGAUUGCGAAGGCAGCCUGCUGGACUGUAACUGACGCUGAUGCUCGAAAGUGUGGGUAUCAAACAGGAUUAGAUACCCUGGUAGUCCACACAGUAAACGAUGAAUACUCGCUGUUUGCGAUAUACAGUAAGCGGCCAAGCGAAAGCGUUAAGUAUUCCACCUGGGGAGUACGCCGGCAACGGUGAAACUCAAAGGAAUUGACGGGGGCCCGCACAAGCGGAGGAACAUGUGGUUUAAUUCGAUGAUACGCGAGGAACCUUACCCGGGCUUGAAUUGCAACUGAAUGAUGUGGAGACAUGUCAGCCGCAAGGCAGUUGUGAAGGUGCUGCAUGGUUGUCGUCAGCUCGUGCCGUGAGGUGUCGGCUUAAGUGCCAUAACGAGCGCAACCCUUAUCGAUAGUUACCAUCAGGUUAUGCUGGGGACUCUGUCGAGACUGCCGUCGUAAGAUGUGAGGAAGGUGGGGAUGACGUCAAAUCAGCACGGCCCUUACGUCCGGGGCUACACACGUGUUACAAUGGGGGGUACAGAAGGCAGCUACACGGCGACGUGAUGCUAAUCCCGAAAGCCUCUCUCAGUUCGGAUUGGAGUCUGCUACCCGACUCCAUGAAGCUGGAUUCGCUAGUAAUCGCGCAUCAGCCACGGCGCGGUGAAAUACGUUCCCGGGCCU